CCGCUAGCAUUGCUUCAUACUCGGCUUCGUUGUUUGUCGCUUUAAAUCCGAAUCUGAUGGCCUGUUGAACUUUGAACCCGUCCGGACUUGUCAAGAUAAUUCCUGCCCCACUAACAGUUAGGGUAGAGGAACCAUCUACAUAUAGAGUCCAAACAUUCUGAUUUUGUUGAAGAACUGCAACUGCUCGAUCGGUCGAUUCAGCUUCCGAGAACUCGGCAUCUGCUUCGGUGAACGAACAUUCUACCAUGAAAUCGGCCAAAGCUUGACCUUUGAUAGCGGUUCGGGGAUGGUAUUAGAUGAAAAAC
rnacentral:lncRNA from 1 species